ensembl:snoRNA
AGCCAGUGAUGAGCUACAUUAUUUCUGAAACCUCACCUGAAAACUGUACCUGCAGUAUUUGACACUUUUUUGAAGCUC